rnacentral:rRNA from 1 species
AUACGUAGGGGGCGAGCGUUGUCCGGAAUGAUUGGGCGUAAAGGGCGCGUAGGCGGCCCGGUAAGUCUGGAGUGAAAGUCCUGUUUUUAAGAUGGGAAUUGCUUUGGAUACUGUCGGGCUUGAGUGCAGGAGAGGUAAGUGGAAUUCCCAGUGUAGCGGUGAAAUGCGUAGAGAUUGGGAGGAACACCAGUGGCGAAGGCGACUUACUGGAUGGUAACUGACGCUGAGGCGCGAAAGUGUGGGGAGCAAACAGGAUUAGAUACCCUGGUAGUCCACACUGUAAACGAUGAAUGCUAGGUGUAGGGGGUAUCGACCCCUUCUGUGCCGCAGUCAACACAAUAAGCAUUCCGCCUGGGGAGUACGGCCGCAAGGUUGAAACUCAAAUGAAUUGACGGGG